rnacentral:lncRNA from 1 species
UCGAAUAUUUGAAGGAUGAUUUGACAUCGUAGUUUAGGAGUGAAUUCGUUGAGCUUCGGUUGUGGGUCGUUCUGUUUGUGUGGUGUGACAGUGAGAUUAGAGAAGCCCGAAAGGCUGAGUGAGGAGAGAGAGGGAGAGAUUUGAGAGGGAAGGAGAGAGAAAGAGAUUUGUUAUAAACUACUGGUUUUAAGGUGUUUGGGUUAUAGUUUGAUAUGGCUGAGAAUCUGGGAAGAGAGUUUAAAAUCAGCAGUAGGUGGAGGAAGAGGAGAGAUGUGCANNN